rnacentral:pre_miRNA from 1 species
AUACUACUCUCUCCGUUCCGAAUUACUUGUCUUAGAUUUGUCUAGAUACGGAGGUAUCUAGCACUAAAAUGAGUCUAGAUACAUCCGUAUCUAGACAAAUCCAAGACAAGUAAUUCGGAACGGAGGGAGUACCUG